rnacentral:rRNA from 1 species
ACUCCUGCGGGAGGCAGCAGUGGGGAAUUUUGGACAAUGGGCGAAAGCCUGAUCCAGCAAUGCCGCGUGAGUGAAGAAGGCCUUCGGGUUGUAAAGCUCUUUUGUCAGGGAAGAAACGGUGAGAGCUAAUAUCUCUUGCUAAUGACGGUACCUGAAGAAUAAGCACCGGCUAACUACGUGCCAGCAGCCGCGGUAAUACGUAGGGUGCAAGCGUUAAUCAGAAUUACUGGGCGUAAAGCGUGCGCAGGCGGUUUUGUAAGUCUGAUGUGAAAUCCCCGGGCUCAACCUGGGAAUUGCAUUGGAGACUGCAAGGCUAGAAUCUGGCAGAGGGGGGUAGAAUUCCACGUGUAGCAGUGAAAUGCGUAGAUAUGUGGAGGAACACCGAUGGCGAAGGCAGCCCCCUGGGUCAAGAUUGACGCUCAUGCACGAAAGCGUGGGGAGCAAACAGGAUUAGAUACCCCAGUAGUCCCAUG